rnacentral:rRNA from 1 species
AGUUUGAUCCUGGCUCAAGAACGAACGCUGGCGGCAUGCCUAACACAUGCAAGUCGAACGAAGCCUUCGGGCUUAGUGGCGCACGGGUGCGUAACGCGUGGGAAUCUGCCCUUGGGUUCGGAAUAACAGUUAGAAAUGACUGCUAAUACCGAAUGAUGUCUUCGGACCAAAGAUUUAUCGCCCAAGGAUGAGCCCGCGUCGGAUUAGCUAGUUGGUGAGGUAAAGGCUCACCAAGGCGACGAUCCGUAGCCGGUCUGAGAGGAUGAUCAGCCACACUGGGACUGAGACACGGCCCAGACUCCUACGGGAGGCAGCAGUGGGGAAUAUUGGACAAUGGGCGAAAGCCUGAUCCAGCAAUGCCGCGUGAGUGAUGAAGGCCUUAGGGUUGUAAAACUCUUUCGCCGGAGAAGAUAAUGACGGUAUCCGGAGAAGAAGCCCCGGCUAACUUCGUG